GACGAACGCUGGCGGCGUGCCUAAUACAUGCAAGUCGAGCGCAGGAAGCCGUCUGAACCCUUCGGGGGGACGACGGUGGAAUGAGCGGCGGAUGGGUGAGUAACACGUAAAGAACCUGCCCAUAGGUCUGGGAUAACCACGAGAAAUCGGGGCUAAUACCGGAUGUGUCAUCGGACCGCAUGGUCCGCUGAUGAAAGGCGCUUCGGCGUCGCCCAUGGAUGGCUUUGCGGUGCAUUAGCUAGUUGGUGGGGUAACGGCCCACCAAGGCGACGAUGCAUAGCCGACCUGAGAGGGUGAUCGGCCACACUGGGACUGAGACACGGCCCAGACUCCUACGGGAGGCAGCAGUAGGGAAUCUUCCACAAUGGACGAAAGUCUGAUGGAGCAACGCCGCGUGAACGAUGAAGGCUUCCGGGUCGUAAAGUUCUGUUGUAAGGGAAGAACAAGUGCCGCGGGCAAUGGCGGCACCUUGACGGUACCUUGCGAGAAAGCCACGGCUAACUACGUGCCAGCCGCCGCCGUAA
rnacentral:rRNA from 1 species